GGCAUGAUAUGGUGACCAAGUUUAAAAAAUAGUCUAUCGUUGUAACAUUAGACCACAAUUUACUUUUUCCUAGAUUUACUUGUAUUCCCAUGUUCAUCUAUAUCAUAACCGUGGGAAAAGGAAAAAAAAGGUCUCUAGACCAAUUGUCCCAACCCGAUAUUUUGCAUCUUACUGUAAAGCAAUAUUUGGAUGCAGAUUUUUCUGGCACAAGGGGUAGGAUAAUCCUAU
rnacentral:lncRNA from 1 species